CGCCUCUUGGAACUAUAUAAGAGGUCCAGCCUGCCCAGUGACUAAGUUCAACGGCCGCGGUAUCCUAACCGUGCGAAGGUAGCGUAAUCACUUGUUCUUUAAAUGAGGACUAGUAUGAAUGGCACCACGAGGGUUAUACUGUCUCCUUUCUCUAAUCAAUGAAACUGAUCUCCCCGUGAAGAAGCGGGGAUAAAUAUAUAAGACGAGAAGACCCUAUGGAGCUUUAAACUAUGUAACACUGGCUUAUGCUCUUUUAUAUUUCAGAAUUAUCACAAUUAUACUAGCUGGUAUGAUUACUAGUUUUAGGUUGGGGUGACCGCGGAGCAAAAAUUAACCUCCACGAUGAACGGAAUCCUUUCUGAGCUAAAAGCUACGACUUUAAGCACUAACAAAUUAACAUUAAUUGACCCAAAAUAUUGAUCAACGAACCAAGUUACCCUAGGGAUAACAGCGCA
rnacentral:rRNA from 1 species